UGUAGAGUUUGUAUAUCCGAGCCGAAGGCGAGUUUUACAACUACUCUUGUCAAAAAACAGUUGCCGAAGUAAUAUCACAAAAUUGUUUCCGAAGUAUUGAAGUAUGCAGCAGCAUUCAAUGUAAUCUGGUUUACUGCCUUCCAAAGUGCAAAAGUUGAUUUCCACA